UAUGGGAAGUGAUGAUAAGAUAUAUCAAUAUGUCAUAGGCACAUGCAGUGCUGAACAACAUCUUUGCACGUCAGUCUGAUCCCAUU
rnacentral:snoRNA from 2 species